AUGACUGCUGUGCUGGUGAAUGGUGUUUGAUCAACAUUUAUCCCCACGGCAGGUAGAGUACAAGAGAGAGCACGCUAAGCCUCCCUUCCCCCCAGUUAUGUGCCUCAACCUCAUCUGGAGGGUGCCAUAUCUCUAGGGAGAAGGGAGUUCAGUCUCUGUAGCCCAUUCUAUCUUGGGCCUCU
rnacentral:sRNA from 1 species